AGGUCAUGAUGAGGAUGUUGUAUUAGUAAUCCUUUGAGUUUUUCCCAAGCUGUAAACAAUGAUUCUCCUUUUGCCUGUUGGAAAUUUAUGAUUUGACUUCUAAAUUU